UGAAACUUCGGCAGAGCACUACGCCUCGACCUUACGUCGGAUCGUCGUCAAACUUGAAGGGAUUGGAGGUCUCUCCUGGCCGACUAAGGAGUAGGUGUUACUUUGAGGAGGCGGGCUUCCAUCACAUGUGCGGCCAGCCCACGCGCGCACGUGCGUCAGCCCCGGGUCACCAUCUGUACGCAAGAGCUUUUUCCGAGUCAGAUGGCUUUCUGGCAGUGACUUGAAAAAGGUUGCCCUUUUUGGCUGCCCUACUCUUGAAAGAAAAACCAUUUUUGCGGCAAAGGGUCUACGAACUUUCUUCAACAUCGAGGAAGAUAUCGUGUGCCGACCAUGUAAAUUGAAGAGCUCAUGCAAGUUCGUGAACCAAAGAGUAGUGAAAAAGGAGAACGUUAAUUUAGUGGACGCAUUGAGGCUCGUUACUGUGUACGCCUCAGACUCGCUGCCCCAGCAGCUGAUAGUAACUGAUGAUUUAAAGCUUUCUAUCAACAAAUUGCUGAAGGAGGUGGUCAAUCUCAGCAAAU